CUCUCUAGUGACCGAUAGUGAACCAGUACCGUGAGGGAAAGGUGAAAAGCACCCCGGAAGGGGAGUGAAAUAGAACCUGAAACCGUGUGCUUACAAGUAGUCAGAGCCCGUUAAUGGGUGAUGGCGUGCCUUUUGUAGAAUGAACCGGCGAGUUACGAUUUGAUGCAAGGUUAAGCAGUAAAUGUGGAGCCGUAGCGAAAGCGAGUCUGAAUAGGGCGUUUAGUAUUUGGUCGUAGACCCGAAACCAGGUGAUCUACCCUUGGUCAGGUUGAAGUUCAGGUAACACUGAAUGGAGGACCGAACCGACUUACGUUGAAAAGUGAGCGGAUGAACUGAGGGUAGCGGAGAAAUUCCAAUCGAACCUGGAGAUAGCUGGUUCUCUCCGAAAUAGCUUUAGGGCUAGCCUCAAGUGAUGAUUAUUGGAGGUAGAGCACUGUUUGGACGAGGGGCCCCUCUCGGGUUACCGAAUUCAGACAAACUCCGAAUGCCAAUUAAUUUAACUUGGGAGUCAGAACAUGGGUGAUAAGGUCCGUGUUCGAAAGGGAAACAGCCCAGACCACCAGCUAAGGUCCCAAAAUAUAUGUUAAGUGGAAAAGGAUGUGGCGUUGCCCAGACAACUAGGAUGUUGGCUUAGAAGCAGCCAUCAUUUAAAGAGUGCGUAAUAGCUCACUAGUCGAGUGACACUGCGCCGAAAAUGUACCGGGGCUAAACAUAUUACCGAAGCUGUGGAUUGUCCUUUGGACAAUGGUAGGAGAGCGUUCUAAGGGCGUUGAAGCAUGAUCGUAAGGACAUGUGGAGCGCUUAGAAGUGAGAAUGCCGGUGUGAGUAGCGAAAGACGGGUGAGAAUCCCGUCCACCGAUUGACUAAGGUUUCCAGAGGAAGGCUCGUCCGCUCUGGGUUAGUCGGGUCCUAAGCUGAGGCCGACAGGCGUAGGCGAUGGAUAACAGGUUGAUAUUCCUGUACCACCUAUAAUCGUUUUAAUCGAUGGGGGGACGCAGUAGGAUAGGCGAAGCGUGCGAUUGGAUUGCACGUCUAAGCAGUAAGGCUGAGUAUUAGGCAAAUCCGGUACUCGUUAAGGCUGAGC
rnacentral:rRNA from 1 species